rnacentral:misc_RNA from 1 species
GAUGAAGAACGUAGUGAAAUGCGAUAAGUAAUGUGAAAUGCAGAAUUCAGUGAAUCAUCGAAUCUUUGAACGCACAUUGCGCCCGUCAGUAUUCUGGCGGGCAUGCCUGUUCGAGCGUCAUUACGCCCCUCAAGUCCCCUGUGGACUUGGUGUUGGGGAUCGGCGAGGCUGGUUUUCCAGCACAGCCGUCCCUUAAAUUAAUUGGCGGUCUCGCCGUGGCCCUCCUCUGCGCAGUAGUAAAACACUCGCAACAGGAGCCCGGCGCGGUCCACUGCCGUAAAACCCCCCAACUUUUUAUAGUUGACCUCGAAUCAGGUAGGACUACCCGCUGAACUUAAGCAUAUCAAUAAGCGGAGGA